GCGACCCCAGGAUGGGCGAGGCCACCCGCCGAGUUUAAGCAUAUCAAUAAGCGGAGGAGAAGAAACUUACAAGGAUUCCCC
rnacentral:rRNA from 1 species